GCUGUGUUGUAAGAUCCUGGCUUUUUCUGCAUCUGGGAUUCUUCCCUUCGUACUUAAUGCCGCGGUGGGUGGACCGAGUACUUUCAUGACCAUUGAAGAAAUUUGAAUACAGAUGGACUGAAUAUUAGAUAAAAACUGUAUUGCCAUGGAAAGGUGGAGAUCAUUAACUGAAAAGAACAAGUCACAGAACACUGUCCUGGUCUGGAGGCUCUCCCUUGCCUCUCUACCCCUGUGCACUCUUCCCCUCUUCUAAUGUCAAGCAUCUUCUCGAACUGCAGG